CGCUCUGACUCAACCUGCGGUACUUAAUGAGAAGUUGCCCGUGUUUUUUUCGCUUUAUUUGUGACGAAACAUUCGCGGUGCACUUCUUUUUCAGUAUCCAAAAUCUGCCUCGAGGACU
rnacentral:pre_miRNA from 12 species